GUGUUAGUGGUGCAUUAGAGAUGACUCAGAAAUAAACCCUGGUUGAUAUUCUUGUUCUGCUGAAAUUUAUUUGUUUCACUUUAUUGUUUUAUUUAAUCGAGAGAAUGUGUGUAUGAUAGGGAUGGUAUACCGUGCAAGUCGGCGCAAUAGUAGAUUUUUUUUUUUCUCAUAGUGUAACCUAUAAAUUUUAUUCAUUAUAAGGUGUAUCUAACCAUUAGCAGGAGUAGGGACUCCACUGAAUCUAAUCUCGUACUGUAUAUCAAUCACUUUUUAGCAAGCACACUAAAAUUCAGUAAAUGAUAAUAUGCUAUAUUUUAUAAGAUUUCGCCACAUCAUA
rnacentral:lncRNA from 1 species